GAAGCCGGAAUUGCUAGUAAUGGCAGGUCAGCAUACUGCCGUGAAUACGUUCCCGGGUCUUGUACACACCGCCCGUCACACCAUGGGAGUUGGGAAUGCCCGAAGCCGGUGACCUAACCGAGAGGGAGGAGCCGUCGAAGGCAGGUCUGAUGACUGGGGUGAAGUCGUAACAAGGUAAC
rnacentral:rRNA from 1 species